rnacentral:lncRNA from 1 species
UUUAAAUCUACCUCUUUUCAACCAUAUAUAAGAAGUACUAUUUACUAUUUUAUGUACUGUUUAUAUUGCUUCACUUAUAUAUUUUACUUUUCAGAGUUUCAAAAAAAAGUUAUAUUCCAAUUUGCUGAAAUUAACAACAUUUUAGUAGAUAUAACUUCACAGUUCUCUAAUGAUCCAGAAGAAGGUUUUAAACAACGUAAAAUUUUAGAUGAACUUAAUGUUUUGAAAAGAAAAAUUGCAAAUAUAAAUAUCCAAUACAUCGCUUUUGUAUACGUAAAACAGUUAUCAUUAAUUAGCGGUAAAAAAUUGAGUAGAUACAAUUAAAAAUAUUUUGCUGUUACUACCAACAGACACUAUUUUGUCCGAAUACAGCAUGAAUGGUCUAAAGAAGAAAAAAAAGUUUAAAGAAUUGACAAGUCUAUGUAAUGCUGGUAUU